rnacentral:rRNA from 1 species
CCCUUAGAUGUCCUGGGCUGCACGCGCGCUACACUGAUGUGUCCAGUAAGCACCUAACCUAUUCCGAGAGGAGCGGGUAACCUUAGCAAAGCACAUCGUGAUGGGGAUAGAUUAUUGCAAUUAUUAGUCUUGAACGAGGAAUUCCUAGUAAGCACAAGUCAUCAGCUUGUGUUGAUUACGUCCCUGCCCUUUGUACACACCGCCCGUCGCUCCUACCGAUUGAAUGUUCCGGUGAGCUCUUCGGACUGCGCGGUCUGCAGUUUCUACGUUCCGUGCGGAAAGUUGUGCAAACCUUAACAUUUAGAGGAAGGAGAAGUCGUAACA